GUGAAAUCUUGAAGCGAAAUCUUGAAGCAAACGCCGUUCUCAGAGGACAAAUUUCUGGAUAUUGCCGGAUUCGAGUGUGGAGGGUCUCGCGUUCACAUGAGUGUAGCCUUUUUUGAGAGGGAGCGAAACGCGACUCUUUUGCACGGAGUGAGAAAAGCAGAUCCGACUGCACAAGGGCAGAGAACCGGGACGUUGGGCAGCGGAUCUGGACGGCGUGUAAGUCAAUCAGGGGGAGGAAAUUGCCAUAUUGAGUGGCCGGGCUCCUGCCUGCACGAUGCACGUUGUUCCGGUACGAUAUUGAGUUUUUAUUUCCGUCCUGCCUCUGUCCUACACUUUCCCGCCAAGUCACCGGCACGUCUGUUGCCGAAACACACCACUGGCCAGCGCGAGGACUGCAGGAUCGAUGUCCUGCCCCCCGGGGGUGGUGUGUGGGGAUAGGGGAGGUGGAGGAUAGUACCCAGGUCUUGCUUCUCAGUGGCUGUGGCACAGAAGGAGUGUGACUAGAGUUGCAGAGGAACACGGUGGUCGUACAGGUCACGAAAGGUCAACGCGGCUGCCCAGACACUAAGCUGCAUUUGAAAGAUUUUCCAGACUCCGAUCAGGUGUCGUGUACAUUCUACGUCGCUGUCGUUGUUUGUGAGACGAUGUCGAGGACAGAGUAUAGAGAAGGACAGUAUGAAAUAAAAGUCAUGUCGAGGGUCAAU
rnacentral:lncRNA from 1 species